CAUCGAGUCUUUGACGCAAGUUGCGCCUGAAGCCAUUAGGUUGAGGGCACGCCUGCCUGGGUGUCACACAUCGUCACCCCCAUGCAAAUGUGCAUUACGGUGAAAGUUGGCUUCCCACGAUCAUUCAUCGUGGUUAGCUGAAAACGAAGUUAAUGGCAGAGCCUGCUGCGAUAAACGGUGGAUGAGUUACUCUCGAGACCAAUCGUGGCUGUGUUUUUCUGUCUGAUUGAACUGGUUGACCCUAUUGCCUUUGGUUGAAACCAAAGGUACUCUUAGCGAGACCUCAGGUCAGGCGGGGCUACCCGCUGAGUUUAAGCAUAUCAAUAAGCGGAGGAAAAGAAACUAACAAGGAUUCCCCUAGUAACGGCGAGCGAACCGGGAACAGCCCACCAUGAAAAUCGGUCGCCUUUGGCGUUCGAAUUGUAGCAAG
rnacentral:rRNA from 1 species